CUCAAUAGGAUGGAGAAAUAUUUCCUAUAUACAGUAGAAUUCCUAUUUUAGUGUUAUUUCAAAAUUGAGUGAGAUUCCUUAUUAGAUUAGGGUUGAGAGGAUUAAAACUAUAAAUAGCAACAUGGUUGGGGCUAUCGCCAAUUGCUGAGGAUUUGGCUUACCCGUUGAUGAGAGCUCUUACCCAUUGCAGUCCUUUGGAGGGAGAGAGGCUGCGACUUAAGGUGGAGAAGUACAUAGUCUAAGAGGAAAGAGCCCAUUAUAGUUGAAAACACACUUUGUAAUGUUGUUAUAAUAGUAGUUAAAAUAGUAAAUAUAUUAAGUUAUAUUUAGAGGAGAAUGAGAGGACUAACUAAUGUAUUUACUAUGAACAAUUUUUGUAAGGGUUCUCUUGGGUGCAAUUGGAUUUAUAGAUAGUAUAAUUUUGAGCUUGUAAUGGAUGAUUUAUUUAUUUAUUGAUAGUGGAAGAUAGCAUUUCCAUGGAAUAUAGCAUGUCCGUAGAUGUAACCCUAUGUGGAGAGGGUGAACUACAUAAGUAUUGGUGUUUUGUGUGUUUGCUUUAUUUUUUUAUAGUUUACACGCUUCCACGAUGCACAACAGUUUUUGCUAUUCUAUCUAGAUUUCCUAUUAUAUUCACUAAACAGGAAUAUAUAUACUACACAAUUGACUUUCCAUAACAUUAAUCAUUCAACGCAUAUGAUUUUAUUUGUUAUAAUUUUAGCACUAUAUUUACUAAUGCUACUAAAGUGAUAUUUAUAGGGCUUCUAUAUGCUAUGAAAUAAUGAAUAAGUUUUAGUCUUAUCCAUGUCACCUUUAUGCAAUAACCAUAUGCCACAACAUCUGUGUUACAUGACAACUCAUUGAUCUUUUUAAAAUAAAAGUUUGUUGUAGAGAUAAUACACACACA
rnacentral:misc_RNA from 1 species